GAGAUUUUGAAAUUCAUUAGGGAUUUUCGCAGCAUCUAAAAAAGCCCCACAUGCCACAGCAACAUCCUGUGCAAAAGCAUUGCAAGAAAAAAUAUACUCCUUUUUCACACAACCGACUAAAAAAGAAAAACAUAAACCGGACACUCUAUUUCCACAAAAACCAACCCUUUACUAUUUAUAAAGAGCCUUUUGGUGGGCAAGCAUGAGUAGGAAAGGAGGCCUAGCUUUAGGGCGCCAUGCUUUGGCCUCAAAAAAUCCCUUAACUUCCCAUUCUAUCUCUUUGUUUGCUUUUCUUUUUCACUGUGGAAUCGUGCCGGCACUGUAUAUAUUAAAAGAGAAACGUGCAUGCGGGAAUAUAAGAUUAGCUUGCCAGGGUCUCUACAGUAUGCGUGCAUCACAAUAUACAUUUACACCUGCUUCUCAAUCUCAGGAUAAAGCUUUCCCUACUUCAUAUAUUUCUCCUUAUUCUUCUUUCUCUUCUCAAACCGUGACCAUGGUGGCAGCUUUCAGCUUGUUUUCAUUGCUCCAAACAAGGAAGAAAUUUAAGCUUCCGUUUCAUUUCUUGCUUGAGCUGAGUAGCCAUUCAAUUAAGCUACUUGUCUUUCCAAGAUAAGAAUAAUGACACAAUUGAGGCAUCCAUGCAAGGGGAAUCAAGAGCUCCUGGUCCGAUUACUCUAUUUACUCUAUUGUCUGUACCAAUUUUAAUUAGUGGGAGUGUUGUCUUAAUAACUUAGAAAUGCGAUGAAUAAUAGUGGGAGUGCUUAUAAUAAUUAGUUAUAGCUUGCUGUUGCCGAUUUAUAAUUGAGGUCUUCUUAAUGCAGCAUGUCAGAGAUGUGAGAAUGUAAUUAAUUAAGUAGUAUUGUGUGCAAAUGCUUGCAAUGAAAUGUAAUAAAUUUCUUGUUCUUAUUUACUUUUGGUUGCUUAAAUU
rnacentral:misc_RNA from 1 species